rnacentral:rRNA from 1 species
CCUACGGGAGGCAGCAGUGAGGAAUAUUGGUCAAUGGGCGCGAGCCUGAACCAGCCAAGUAGCGUGAAGGAUGACUGCCCUACGGGUUGUAAACUUCUUUUAUAAAGGAAUAAAGUGAGGCACGUGUGCCUUUUUGUAUGUACUUUAUGAAUAAGGAUCGGCUAACUCCGUGCCAGCAGCCGCGGUAAUACGGAGGAUCCGAGCGUUAUCCGGAUUUAUUGGGUUUAAAGGGAGCGUAGAUGGGUUGUUAAGUCAGUUGUUAAAGGCGCAGGCUCAACCUGUGUAUGGCACUUGAUACUUGCAAGCUGGAAUGCGGUAGAGGUAAAGGGAAUUCCUGGUGUAGCGGUGAAAUGCUUAGAUAUCAGGAGGAACAUCGGUGGCGUAAGCGCUUUACUGGGCCGUAAUUGACGCUGAGGAACGAAAGCCAGGGUAGCAAAUGGGAUUAGAUACCCGGGUAGUC